rnacentral:rRNA from 1 species
CCUACGGGGGGCUGCAGUGGGGAAUAUUGGACAAUGGGGGCAACCCUGAUCCAGCCAUGCCGCGUGUGUGAAGAAGGCCCUCGGGUUGUAAAGCACUUUCAGUGAGGAAGAACGCCUGGUGGUUAAUACCCAUCAGGAAAGACAUCACUCACAGAAGAAGCACCGGCUAACUCCGUGCCAGCAGCCGCGGUAAUACGGAGGGUGCGAGCGUUAAUCGGAAUUACUGGGCGUAAAGCGCGCGUAGGUGGCUUGAUAAGCCGGUUGUGAAAGCCCCGGGCUCAACCUGGGAACGGCAUCCGGAACUGUCAAGCUAGAGUGCAGGAGAGGAAGGUAGAAUUCCUGGUGUAGCGGUGAAAUGCGUAGAGAUCGGGAGGAAUACCAGUGGCGAAGGCGGCCUUCUGGACUGACACUGACACUGAGGUGCGAAAGCGUGGGUAGCAAACAGGAUUAGAUACCCCUGUAGUC